rnacentral:rRNA from 1 species
GACGAACGCUGGCGGCGUGCCUAACACAUGCAAGUCGAGCGAGUGAAUUUCCUUCGGGAUUGAAGCUAGCGGCGGACGGGUGAGUAACACGUGGGCAACCUGCCUCAUAGAGGGGAAUAGCCUUUCGAAAGGAAGAUUAAUACCGCAUAAGAUUGUAGCUUCGCAUGAAGUAGCAAUUAAAGGAGUAAUCCGCUAUGAGAUGGGCCCGCGGCGCAUUAGCUAGUUGGUGAGGUAACGGCUUACCAAGGCGACGAUGCGUAGCCGACCUGAGAGGGUGAUCGGCCACAUUGGGACUGAGACACGGCCCAGACUCCUACGGGAGGCAGCAGUGGGGAAUAUUGCACAAUGGGGGAAACCCUGAUGCAGCAACGCCGCGUGAGUGAUGACGGCCUUCGGGUUGUAAAGCUCUGUCUUCAGGGACGAUAAUGACGGUACCUGAGGAGGAAGCCACGGCUAACUACGUGCCAGCAGCCGCAGUAA